CAAUUCCUCUGAUAGAGCAUUCGAGGUCAAGUGCCAAGCUAUCAGUGGGGAUGGAGUAAAGCACCUUUAUCUGAGCCUUCGCUGACACGGGACUCGGCCGUGACUCACAGAGGGUGCAAAAGGCUCGUGCAGACUGAGAUUGUAGAUCUUCACCCAAAUCCACUCUGCCUGUGACAUCCUGCAGAUCACAAGGCCUCUCAGAGCUUAUGCCUUCAGGCUGACUUGAA
rnacentral:lncRNA from 1 species